rnacentral:rRNA from 1 species
GAUGAACGCUAGCUACAGGCUUAACACAUGCAAGUCGAGGGGAAACGGCAUUAAGUGCUUGCACUUUUUGGACGUCGACCGGCGCACGGGUGAGUAACGCGUAUCCAACCUUCACAUGACUAAGGGAUAACCUGCCGAAAGGCAGACUAAUAACUUAUGGUCUUCACUGACGGCAUCAGAUGUGAAGUAAAGAUUUAUCGGUUUUGGACGGGGAUGCGUUUGAUUAGCGUGUUGGCGGGGUAACGGCCCAGCAAGGCAAUGAUCAGUAGGGGUUCUGAGAGAAAGGUCCCCCACAUUGGAACUGGGACACGGUCCAAACUGCUACGGCAGGAAGCAGUGAGGAAUAAUGGUCAAUGGGCGAGAGCCUGAACCAACCAAGUAGCGUGCAAGAAGACGGCCCUAUGGGUUGUAAACUGCUUUUGUAUGGGGAUAAAGUCAAACACAGGUGACUGUUUGCAGGUACCUUACGAAUAAGAACCGGCUAAUUCCGUG